GCUAGGUUCAGUAUUGUAAGGUUGACUACUUAGGAUUUCAGGUUAUUUCCCAAACACAUA
rnacentral:misc_RNA from 1 species